GAUGAAGAACGCAGCGACAUGCGAUAAGUAAUGUGAAUUGCAGAAUUCAGUGAAUCAUCGAGUCUUUGCACGCACAUUGCGCCCCCUGGUCUUCCGGGGGGCAUGCCUGUCCGAGCGUCAUUGCUGCCCUCAAGCACGGCUUGUGUGUUGGGCCUCCGUCCUCCUCCCGGGGGACGGGCCCGAAAGGCAGCGGCGGCACCGCGUCCGGUCCUCGAGCGUAUGGGGCUUCGUCACCCGCUCUUGUAGGCCCGGCCGGCGCUUGCCGACACAUCAAUCUUUUUUCCAGGUUGACCUCGGAUCAGGUAGGGAUACCCGCUGAACUUAAGCAUAUCAAUAAGCGGAGGA
rnacentral:misc_RNA from 1 species